UGUUCUGCUUAUGCUACUGGUUUGCUAAGGGGCAAUGUUAAAUUCAGGUUGUCCAAAAUCACAUAUUAACCCUAAAGUUACGCAAAAACAGCUGGGAUUUUCACUGUUCAACUCAUUAAUUUGACAAGAAUGAUUACUUUGUACCAGAUAUGGGUUUCCUUAGUUAAACCUACAAAUGACAAGGAAAUCAAUCUACCAUAAUAAUUGUUAAUCUGUCUUGACAAAGAACCUAAUGUAAGGGUCAUGUAAAAGUUCAAGUUAAUAAUGACAACAUAAUUAUCUUUGUGCUUAGCUUUAAGAAUUUGAUUUGCUUGUCAGCGACAGGAAAGGAGUAUUGUUAUAAAAUUUUGCAAACACUAGGAAAAGUUUUUUUGAUUUUAUGUAAGUGCAAUAUUUAACAUUUGAGAGAAAUGAGGAGAUAAAUACGAGGAACCUUCUAGGCAUUGUCAAUGAUAAUAAGCAUGCAGUUUGUUUUCUACAUUCCCAAAUUUAUAUCAGGACUCUGUACAUGCACCAGAGGCAAUAUGGUACCUUUUGGGGGGGAUAAAGGGUUUCAUUCAGUUCCCAUGAAUAAUAGACCGGGUUUAACUGAACUGGAACAAGGAAAACAGGGUUUGCUAUCGCAAUAAAAUCUGCAUUCCCAUAAGGUGUCACUUGUUCAUUUGUGCAAACAGCAGCAAACUCAAAGAAAAACAUUAAAUCUGGAUUGGGCAUUUAAGAGGAUUGUUCUCCUAACUAAAGAACGCUCAUCAGUGUCAGUCAGCAUACAAAUGGCAAGCAGCCAAUGAUCAUUUCCUCAAACCCCCCUGACCCGAGCUGGCCCAGCUGCCCAUGUAAAUAAGGCUGUUUAAAAUGUGCAAAUGCCUCUCCCUGGUUUCACUCCACCUCAGCCAGCCAGAGCGGUUUCCUGCUCUUUGUUUCAAGGCUGAUGUUUGCGUCAUGCAUUCCAAGUGCUAUUUCAAUGUUCUUUCCUGUUUAGGUUGUUUUCUACUAGAGGAGCUGCAGGCCUGUCCCUGCCCUGUCCCACCCUCUCAGCCCCAGUCCUUCCUUCCUUCCCCCAGACUCGUUAUCUUUUGACGCGUUCUGUACUGAUGGUCAAAUCUGGCUCUGUUCUUUUUGGUCAGGAAAGAUGAAGCUUCUCACGAGAUAACAAUCUGAUUUUAAACUGGACAAAGUAUUGCUGUACAGUUACUUUCUUAUUGGCAGGAAAGUCAAUGCACCUGGUAUUCUGGGAGUUGAGAAAAAUUAAGGAAGUGUCCAGUUGUUGAAGGAACUGUUGACUGUGAAGGGGACAAUAUUAGUUAAGAGCCGAGAAAUGUAUGUUUCAUUCAUCGUGUAAGUCAGUACAUGGGCUCAAGCAGAUGGUGAGAAUCAUGUUACCAAGAAAAUGCACAGGAACUUAAGAAUGGUCCAGAUGGAGCAAACUAUACUUGCUAAACGAUGCACAGAAAUGAGUCCUCUAGUAAAAAGAAUAAAGUACGAAGCUGGUUUCAAAUUGAAAGUUGUAACACUCACUAACUCAUCCAAGUAACUGUGGCAAUGAGGGAAUUCCACGUUGGUGAAAAACUGCUGCAAGAUUGAAAUUAGAUACAAUUCUCCCUGAUGACACUACCUGAAAUCAAAUAUGCAUGAGACAGGGAUGAUCCACUGGCUUGGUCUUGAGAAGCAUGUUAUCAGUCUGGGUCCUCGAACCAUCAGAAUGGUAACAUCAUCACCAAAAAAAACAAUGCAUGUAUACACAUUUAAAUGAGCUAAAUCAAACAGAAUCCAGUGAAGCUUUCAGAGCAACAGUUACUUUGUGCAGCUGCCUUAAGGAACAAAAUGCCUAGUGUUUCAGCAGGAGACCAAGAGUGCUCAGAGCCUACCAUAAAAACCUCUGCCACAAUUAACUUUUUUCAGCAAUUAUCAGUCAAAAAUACAAUUAACACCAUUAUAUUACAUCAUGGCGACAUGAAUGAUAUGCCUGUGAAUUUGGAUGUGCCCAGCAACUGAAUCGUGGAGUGGGAAGAUUCAAAGGCUGUUCCAGUGAAAACAACAGGACAUGAGAAGACCAGAUUCAUCACCAAUAAAAUGUAAUUAAAAUCUAUGCUAAUUUACAAAGAUGAACCGGGCCAAAAAUCAAGUCCCAUGCAUGGGUUUUUCUGCAUAUCCAUGAUGACAGUUUGGAUGGAUGAAAAUUGAAUGAAGUUGUAAAUCAAUAAUGGGUGGAAUAGGCUUUCCAGCAGCCUGUGCAAAGGACACAGGACGGAAAUAUUUUUACAAAGUAUGAAAAUAAGCACACUGCCCCAUUUGAUAUUUUGUGUUGGUUUUAAUCAGCAAAUCAAAGGAUAAUUCCAAAAUGUGGAGCACUAAGUUCAGUGAAAUGGAAGCUGUUUUGCUGGGGAGGAUGUUUCUGAAACUGAAGGCACUACAUCUGAUCCAGAUGAUGCCACAGCCAAGAUGAUUCAAAUGAAUUUGCUGAACUGUAUUUGUUAUCAAAGAUAAUUAAAUGGAUGGAUUUUAAAAUGUUUCCAGUGUGGAUAAUGGAAUGCUUGUCAAAUGAAUUCAUUCAAAUAAACAUGCCACAUAGGUUUGUGUUGAGUUACCUUGGUUAUAGUUUCUAUUUUAACAUUUCAAAAUGACAAUCACCUGUACCCACAUCAGGAUAUACUCAAGUGUAUAAGCCA